ACAACGCACAACACUUAUCGAUAAAAAUUGGAGGGCAAGUCUGGGGCCAGCAGCCGCGGUAAUUCCAGCUCCAAUAGCGUAUAUUAACGUUGUUGCAGUUAAAAAGCUCGUAGUUGAAAUGAAGUGUGAACCUUCUGGAUUUUCCUUUGAAUUUCUUGCUGGUUCCCCCUCUUUCCAAAUAGUUUGCAUGGGUAUUCACUUAUCUGUGUAUUGCAUUUGGUCAUUUACUGUGAGAAAAUUAAAGUGUUCAAAGCAUACGUUUGUUUGAAUACAUUAGCAUGGAAUAAUUCGAAAAGGCUUUCAUGUUCGAUUUGAUUGGUUUGUUCGUGAAGGCAAGAUUAAAAGGGACAGUUGGGGGUAUUCAUAUUCAAUAGUCAGAGGUGAAAUUCUCGGAUUUAUGGAAGAUGAACUAGUGCGAAAGCAUUUACCAAGGAUGUUUUCAUUAAUCAAGAACGAAAGUUAGGGGAUCGAAGAGGCUUA
rnacentral:rRNA from 1 species